rnacentral:rRNA from 1 species
CCUACGGGUGGCUGCAGUGAGGAAUAUUGGUCAAUGGGCGCGAGCCUGAACCAGCCAAGUAGCGUGAAGGAUGACUGCCCUACGGGUUGUAAACUUCUUUUAUAAAGGAGUAAAGUGAGGCACGUGUGCCUGAUUGUAUGGACAUGAUGAAUAAGGAUCGGCUAACUCCGUGCCAGCAGCCGCGGUAAUACGGAGGAUCCGAGCGUUAUCCGGAUUUAUUGGGUGUAAAGGGAGCGUAGAUGGGUUGUUAAGUCAGUUGUGAAGGUUUGCGGCUCAACCGUAAAAUUGCAUUUGAUACUGGCAGCCUUGAGUGCAGGUGAGGUAGGCGGAAUUCGUGGUGUAGCGGUGAAAUGCUUAGAUAUCACGAAGAACUCCGAUUGCGAAGGCAGCUUACUAAACUGCAACUGACAUUGAUGCUCGAAAGUGUGGGUAUCAAACAGGAUUAGAUACCCGGGUAGUC